CUACAUAUACUCCGCACUCUUGCAUCUUUUGCUCACUCCAAUGCGUCUGGCAGGAUAAUAGAACCUUCAAAACUGUCUGGCUACUUCAGAAACUUUGUUUGAAUAAUUCCCCAAAAAAUAUGUAUUAAAUUCAGAUUUUACAAAAUGACGUUGAAAAAAGUAUACCUUUAUUACCUGCUACCUGCCAAAGCAACCACUGCCUGAGUACCAUAGGUGGGGAUCGUUCCUACCUGUACUAGAGGCAUAUUUACAGAAACUUUCAGCUUUUACAAAAUAAGGUAUGUCUGGCGUUCACGGGCUCUUGCUCUAUUACGAUAAUCGAUUUAACAUACUUGGAACACUUUAAUGGUUUAAAUUUUAAUCAUUUUAUGUGCCGUUUUUAAAUUUUAAAUAUUUUGAUAAUUCUAUUUUAUAUGUAUUUCGUAAAAAAUAUCAAAAUCGGGUCAGUGAUUUAUGCGUGAAAGCGUAACAGACAGAGUUACAUUCGAAGCAUCAACGAACAGGAGCAGGUGCAGAAUAUAUUUAGUACUUAUGGUAUAAAUAGCUUUUCCUUGAUAAACAAAAAAAAAACAGAAAUCACUCUCCUAGCAAAUUUUGAGCGAGUCACAAUUUUUUUUUAACUUACAUAUUAAUAUAAUCACAUCUAUAUACCUUGCGGGGUAGAGGGUCUGUAUCUGUUAACAUGAAAAAAUAUGUAGUUUACCGUGUUAUGGCAUAUUUUUGAAACAUUACGUAAUACCUAAAUAGGUAUAAUUCUCUUUUAGGUUAGGUAAGUUAUGCUUUAAAUAGUUAUGCGAAAACCAUUAUGCGAAAGAAAUAUAUACAUAUAUAUAUGUACAUUUACCCGUAUGAUAAAAAUGAAUUAUGCAUAAGAGCUAUUAUGCUAAUAUAUUGUAUGCCUAAACCGUUUUGCCAUUAGGACUUUAUAAAAGAAUAUGAGGACAAAAUAAUUUGAACGAAAGAAAGUGGCCCACAGGGGGUAGCAGUCUCGAAUAGACUGAAAGGUCACGUUCAGUUGUUUGGCUUUAGAUGAUAUAUUACCCCUGGCUGGUAACUAUAGAGGUAGUGUACGCGAUAAGUUAACUGUACAUGCUACGUUUGUUGUAGUCUUUGCAUGGUAAGCGUAAAAUUUUUUUAAACGUGUGUAGGGAUUUAAUAUAUAAAGGUAAUCUUUAUGCGAUUCAAUAUAUACAGAAUGAGGAUAUAAUGUAAUACUAGCGUUCUCCCCCGGCUCCGCCCGAGUGAAAUGUACCCUAUGUUUACACUUUAUGUAAGUAGGUACUUAUGCAAAAUUUCAUGGCGAUCGGUUUAGUGGUUUUGACAUGAAAGACGAACAAACAAAGGCACUUUUACAUUAAUGUUUUGUUUGUUUUGAUGAUUUGAUGAGUUUUAAUUUAUUAUGUAAGGACAGAGGAAAUCAGGCGUCUUUAGCUUCAUCACUUUGCGAACGUGUGUUUUAAUUACGCACUGCGGGACUAAAGUGCUGGCCAGAAUAUCAAGUUAUUUUGGAUGGAACUCUAUGACGCGGUAAUAUAGUCGAAUUUGCAGCCAAUUUGGGUAGAUUGAUAUGCUGCUGUAAAAAACAUGACGUGUCCGUUGCUUAUUUACUAAAUUCAAAAUUUAUACCUAUUCAUUAUUAUAGGAUACUUCUAUCGCUUAAUAAUUGUCAUAUCGUUGGUUUCACAACUUGGUUGACGUCAAAUAAAUUACUUAAAACUAAGUUUACUGCCGCUUCCAAAACGUCAGUGCAGAAGAAGCGGUAACAAACUGCUCUGCAGCAUUUUCUUCAAUAACGUCAACUUCACAGCUAUCCAAACUUAGAAUAGAAAUGUAGACGAGAGAAUGCAUUGUUCAAAUUGAUUUAUAUGAGAUCUUAAUAAUAAAAAAAACUGUUGCAUAGGAUUGUUCUACAUCCUCACCAACAGCCCCACUAUUGGGGUAAAAAUCUUAUAAUUCUGAAUAAGAACUGCCUCACAAAUUCGUUUGUCGUUUAAAUUUUAUGUACUCUGUCUACCUCACUAGGGUCGGCACCAAAGAAAUCUAAAUAAUAUAAGGCAAUAAAAAUGUCAGUGUACUUUGAAUUAUAGCAUUGUUAUGACAACGUAAUGAAGAUCUGUAAACCCAAUGAUUAGUAUUGUUUCAUUUUAUUCAGAAUACCUACUAUGGUCAGCACUGUUGAAUUUUGUGUUACCAAUAUUGUGAUUUUUAUCUAUUUUAAGUGUGUGUUUUUUACUCACUUGUAUUUCUGAUUUCUUGAUUGAACUGCCCUAAUAAGGUAGUUCAAUUGAAAAGGCAUUCCACUUUGCUCCAAUCGUAACACAGUCCAAUACAAUGCCACAUCUAGUGUGGCUAAGAAGUAAUAAAACAUUGGACCCGUUUUUGAUGUAGAUACUACGUAGGAUGUCAUAAAUUAUUAUCUUGUUGUUCAGAUUCUAAGUGUGUUACCUCUUGUUGAUUAUGUUCAAAUAUAUUUAUGUAAUAUAAAAAACAAUGACAUUCCUGUGAUUGUAAUUUCUUGUUGUUGAUAAUAAAGUUUGAAUUGAAUAAUUGAUUUGAA